AUAAACCUUCUCUGUGGAAAAAUAAAUAUACAUACAAAUUUUUAUAACGAUCUGUCAAAUAGUUUACGAUUCUAUAAAGGACAUACAGGCAAACAUUAUAUAUAGAUGAUUUACACUAAUGUUUUUACCACAUCUUAAUAUUAUAUAAUAUUAAAUAUUUACUAAAAACCAGACUUGUUUUGGAGGUUUAAUUAUUGGAAAACAGAAAAAAAAAUGUUGCUCUUACUAGAAAGAGAUAUGCAGCACCUAGUCGUGACUGAGAGCACCGGUCACUGGCGUAUCUGCGCUUUCAUUGGCUGUUGUUGGUGACGUGAUCUUGUACAGCUGUGCUGGAUACAUUUUUAGUUAACCAUUCAUACAUUGUUGAGACCACAUGUGUUUGUUUUUGAGUGCUUAAAUUUAUCAAAUUUUUGUUAAUAUUAAACUAUAUUUAUAAAUUAGAUAUCUGUCAAUAGACAGUACAUUUAAAAAUAAAAUACUCUUAUCAAAAUGGAAGAAUAAUUUUAGGAACGUAAGUCUGAGUCAUGGAUUUUAUGCAAACAGAAAGAGGUCAGGAAGGUUAUUAUAUUCUCUGAUAAAACUUUAAAUAACUGUCGAGUAGCAUUGAAAAUCCACCAAGAAUUGAAUUUGAAACAUAAUGAUGUGAUUUUACUAUCGCUAGUUUCUACUAAGGAGGGUUAUCAUCUGAAAUGUUACACCAAUUUCUCAAGAACAAUGCAAGAAAAAUUUGUCAACAAUGUAUCCAGAGACUUCUUCUCCAUCAGGCAUUUCUCCAUCAAGCAAGAAAGUUGUUGGAAGUGAGCAAACAGGGUUCCGCUUGAAGAGGAUGUUGGUUUCAACAGUGAAGAUUGCCAGUCUGCUGAAACUAUUGAGUCAGUCUGAAAGUUAAGGUCAGAAUUCUCAACAUACAACAGUGCAUCCUGAUGCAAUGUCUGAAAACACAGAUUUUUGUAAUUUUUUGCUCCAAAGUUCGCAAAACUUUAAAGGUCGGCAUGAACAAUUAUAUUACAUUCAAAAAGAUGCUCUUCUCAAAACUCUUGAACCAUACAUAGAAUCUCUAGAAGAAAAGGUUAUAUGUAAACCAUUAUAAAGCUUAAUAAAUUUUAAAACUCACAGUAAA